GUCUCUGUGGCGCAAUCGGUUAGCGCGUUCGGCUGUUAACCGAAAGGUUGCUGGUUCAAACCCAGCCAGGGACG
rnacentral:tRNA from 2 species